rnacentral:lncRNA from 1 species
UCUGCUCUAUGACAAAGUGAUUCAGUUAUACAUGUACACAUAUCCAUUCUUUUUCAGAGGGGCCAGUCCAACUCAAAGAAUCAUUUUUUUUUUUUUCCUUCUUGAAGGAGUUAGGCUCCUGUGAAUCCUACAAAGCCGAGGCUGCUGACCAGAGCACUCAUUCAAGUUAUCUGAGUGGGAUGAUCAAAUUUUUGAAGAUUUCUCUGUGAGAGAUUUCCUAUUAGUUCCAAUCCACACUGAUGACCUAGGAAGAUGCCAGCAA